ACACUUAUCUUCCUCCUUUUCUAUAUUUUUUGUUGGGAAAAAAAGACCCAUUCUUUUGAAGUGUCUCAAGGUGAAAAAAUACGAGACUGUACUCGUGAUGGUGGUUCAGCAUGAUGCUACAGGUUUGUUUGUGAGUGGUUGGCGUAGGAGUGCUGCACUCGAUGCACUACCUCUCAGAUAGAAACGGCAAAACAUCAAGUGACUCAACCCCUUAGUGGGU